CCUUCUGGAGUCCCACUGGAGUACAUGGUCUGCAUUUGGUGGGUGUAUAGAGAAUCAACGUAUGGAAUAUUUUUCUCCUCCAACGUCUUCAUGGAUCUCUCUCUAAACUGUAUGUCGGUGUUUCCCAGCUGCCUUGGUUUCUCAUGCAGAUGAGCCCUGCCAAACGGUUUCCUACUGCACCCUCUUAGGACAAAGGCUCAGUUGUUGUUUUCUGUUGAUAAACUGGACAUUUAACUGCUUCGUUUCCCCCCUACUACAGCAGAAUUAGUCGGGGGCUAUUUGCUCAGGCCCCAAUCCCUGGGAUUGCUGGGACAAUCGCUCAAGAGGUUCCGAUUUAGAAACCAAUGAAUGUCAAGCUGAGCCUCUGAACUAAACUUUCUUUGAGAUGAGCCAGAGUGACCUGCAGCGAGCUGUAAAGAAGAGUGCAAUGAACCCCCCCCCCCUCCCGUUCCCUUCCCCAAAGGAAAAAUAUUUCCCAGACCACUGGGAACCCUCCUGACUUCCUCUCCUGUGAAUUCUGGAUUAGUGUGAUUUGCAUGCUUAAAGUUAAUUCACUAGUGAACGGAGGAGGUGUCUGGGCACUUGAAUAGAUUCAGCUCCUCGCUGCUGAGUGCCAAGGGCCUCCGGUGCAAACCACAGAGUGAGGGAAAGUGAGGACAUGGAGGACAACUGCAGGGGUGAAGGGAGGGAGGAGGGAUUGUACCAUUUGUACUGAAGUGUUUGCAAUUCUGCCCUCCCACAGGCCAUGGCAACUGGACUGAAUGUAAUCUGGCCCUUUUAUUUUCUUGCUUUCAUUCAAGUGAGGCCAUAUAACAAGUGGAGAGCGAGAGGAAGGGGGGAAAUGCAUGAAGUAUACAUAAUAAAGGUGAUACUGCUGAAAACGCUGUUUGCUGUUGAAAAAUGCAAUCAAACUUGGUUUAUUGGGAAUUUGAGUGUGCUCGGUCCUUGGGAGCUUUCUCCUGAAGCCAUUCUUAAAAACAAAGCAAACAAAAAAAAGCCUUGUCUGGUUAUCCCCAGGCCUUGCUCCCUGAUAAGAGCCAUCUCUCAUGACCAAAUUAAAACGUGGGCUCCAUCUUGCAUCUUGCACUUGAUAAGACACGUCCAUCCGCGUGUUGGGAAAGUUCCCAUUUCCAAUUUUUUGGUGCCUGGGAAAAGCCUCUUUUAAAUUGAUGGGGGAGGAAGAAAAAAAAAAAGAAGAAAAGUUUGAAUCAUUGCAUGGAGUCACUGGCCCCGCUGAGGGGGCUUUCUCUCUCCUCUGAAGAACAGACCACGCACAAAGCCAGAUGGUUCCCGUCUGCUGGCUUUAUUCAAUGCACUUCCUCCCACAGACGGGAGCCCUUUUGCCCUCCUUCCACCCCCCUCUUUCAAGCAUCCACCACUGGGCCUUUCUGUUCUGCGGCUGGAAAUAAUCUUUUAUUGCCCAGUUGUUCGGAAGUGACCUUUUGCCCUUGAUUAGAUAGCACCAGGCUCUAUCGCCGGAUUGCUUUUGAGCUGGCAGUUGCUUUUUUGUGUCCGCUGAUCCGGUGUCAGGGAGAACAAUGCAAGGCUUUGCAAAAUUUUAGUCCGGCUAAGGCUCCAUGUGGGAUGGCUGGGGGUAGGGAGGAACUGCGUUGGAUAAAGCAGCCUCGCGGACCAUGAUUAAUUAUAUGAAAACAUUUCCUUUAAUAAACUGCAAAACAAAUCGUGCUUUGGUUUGGUUUUUAUAUUCAUCUCGCGCACUGAUGCGAACCGCUGCGUGCUCCUUUCCAAGCCGUUAGCUCCUCAUUGGAGACAGGGAGCAAAACUGCUCCUUGUUUCUCUUCUAUGGGAUUUUUUGUGCCCAGCUGUGCAGGCAGGUGAGCUGAAAUCUGCCCCAAAACCCUCCAGCUGGUGUUGAGCUGUGAAACCACUGUGUUUCACUGAUGAAGUGGCCAGAGGAGUUAUUUCAGGGAGAUGCUCUCAGGCCCUGGUGGAAAUAACUGAUCCUUUUCCAAAAAGCAGUUUUGAUAGCUUUAGAAACGGGGAAUCUUUCCAGUUACCUGUAGA